AGAAUCAACGCUGGCGGCGUGCCUCAGACAUGCAAGUCGAACGAUUAAACUUUCCUUCGGGAAAGAUAUAAAGUGGCGCACGGGUGAGUAACACGUAAGUAAUCUGCCUUUGAGUGGGGAAUAACCCGGGGAAACCCGAGCUAAUACCGCAUAAUGCAGCGGCAUCGCAAGAUGACAGUUGUUAAAGGAGCAAUCCGACUUAAAGAGGAGCUUGCGGCAGAUUAGCUAGUUGGUAAGUAAUGGCUUACCAAGGCUACGAUCUGUAACCGGUCUAAGAGGACGGUCGGUCACACUGACACUGAAUAACGGGUCAGACUCCGUACGGGAGGCGAGCGAGGUCGGGUAAGUUUGGGCAAGUGGGACGAAAGCCUGACCCAGCAACGCCGCGU
rnacentral:rRNA from 1 species